AUUGAACGCUGGCGGCAGGCUUAACACAUGCAAGUCGAGCGGGGGAAGGUAGCUUGCUACCGGACCUAGCGGCGGACGGGUGAGUAAUGCUUAGGAAUCUGCCUAUUAGUGGGGGACAACAUCUCGAAAGGGAUGCUAAUACCGCAUACGUCCUACGGGAGAAAGCAGGGGAUCUUCGGACCUUGCGCUAAUAGAUGAGCCGAAGUCGGAUUAGCUAGUUGGUGGGGUAAAGGCCUACCAAGGCGACGAUCUGUAGCGGGUCUGAGAGGAUGAUCCGCCACACUGGGACUGCGACACGGCCCAGACUCCUACGGGAGGCAGCAGUGGGGAAUAUUGGACAAUGGGGGGAACCCUGAUCCAGCCAUGCCGCGUGUGUGAAGAAGGCCUUAUGGUUGUAAAGCACUUUAAGCGAGGAGGAGGCUACUUUAGUUAAUACCUAGAGAUAGUGGACGUUACUCGCAGAAUAAGCACCGGCUAACUCUGUGCCAGCAGCCGCGGUAACAC
rnacentral:rRNA from 1 species